AAAAAACAACCUUGUGACCUGCAGUUAUCGGAGACGAAGUAAAGUGUGCUGUGGGCUAAAACCCUCACUUCGAGUCUGUGCAGUUCCCCGAGCUUUAGGUUCCCUGCUUCCUGAAUUUGCUGUCUUAUCGUUGUGUGGGCCAUGAAGCUGGCCACCAACAAGUGGAGCAGAGAGGCCUUCAAAAAAUCAACCCUGCUGAUACUCCAAGACUCCGGAAAACAAACGGUGGCCACAUGACUGAAGAAUGGUGUAGAGCUUUCAAGAUGGCUCAGCAGGUGUAUGUAGAAGCAGUCAUCAGGGACCACACUAUGAAGACUGCAUACUCAGGAUGAUGGACAACAACAGAAGAGGGACCUGGUUUUGACAUCAUGGCAUCCUGGGCUAUGGGCUACACCUCCACUUUCCUCUAUGGAGAGACUAAAUACUGUCUUAGUAAAUUCCAGCUGCUAUAUAAUAAAAAUUGCAUAGAUUAA
rnacentral:sRNA from 1 species